GCGGAUGUGAUGGAACUGGUAGACAUGCUAGACUUAGGAUCUAGUGCUUCACGGCGUGCAGGUUCGAUUCCUGUCAUCCGCACAA
rnacentral:tRNA from 2 species